ACCAUGGGGGUCAGAGGUUUUCUUUCUAUGAUGACGUGGCAAAUGGAGAGGAGAGGGAGUGGGGCCACAAGAAGCAUCACAAGCACCACCAUGUUGAAGGAGAAGAGGAGCAUGAGCAUGAGCAUGAGCAUGAGCAUGAGGAGCAUGAUCAUGAGCAUGAUCACGAGGAGCAUGAGCAUGAGCAUGAGGAGCAUGAUCAUGAGCAUGAUCACGAGGAGCAUGGGCACGGGCACGGGCACGGGCACGAUCACGAGCAUGAGCAUGGGCACGAUCACGAGGAGCACGGGCACGGGCAUGAGGAGCACGGGCACGAGCAUGAGCACGAGGAGCAUGAGCAUGAGCAUGGGCAUGGGCAUGGACAUGAGCAU
rnacentral:lncRNA from 1 species